rnacentral:rRNA from 1 species
CGCAAUGGGCGCAAGUCUGACGGAGCGACGCCGCGUGAUGGAUGAAGUCCUUUGGGAUGUAAACAUCUUUUGGGAGGGAGAAAGUUAUUGAUAGUACCUCCAGAAUAAGAGGUUGCUAAACUCGUGCCAGCAGCAGCGGUAAUACGAGUGCCUCAAGCGUUAUCCGGAAUUAUUGGGCGUAAAGGGUGUGUAGGCGGUUCUAUUACUCUUCUGUAAAAUUCUUCGGCUUAACCGGGGACUUGCAGAGGAAACGGUAGAACUUGAGGAUGCGAGGGGUUUGCGGAACUCAUAGUGUAGGGGUGAAAUCCGUUGAUAUUAUGGGGAACACCAAAAGCGAAGGCAGCAAACUGGCGCACUCCUGCCGCUGGAGCACGAAAGCGU